rnacentral:rRNA from 1 species
UAGCCAGACUCCUACGGGAGGCAGCAGUGGGGGAUAUUGCACAAUGGGGGAAACCCUGAUGCAGCGACGCCGCGUGGGUGAAGAAGCGCCUCGGCGCGUAAAGCCCUGUCAGCAGGGAAGAAAAUGACGGUACCUGAAGAAGAAGCCCCGGCUAACUACGUGCCAGCAGCCGCGGGAAUACGUAGGGGGCAAGCGUUAUCCGGAUUUACUGGGUGUAAAGGGGGCGCAGACGGCGAUGCAAGCCAGGAGUGAAAACCCGGGGCCCAACCCCGGGACCGCACCGGAUACUGCCGGACUCGAGUGCCGGAGGGGCAGGCGGAAUUCCUGGUGUAGCGGUGAAAUGCGCAGAUAUCAGGAGGAACACCGGUGGCGAAGGCGGCCUGCUGGACGGUAACUGACGCUGAGGCUCGAAAGCGUGGGGAGCGAACAGGAUUAGAUACCCGAGUA